UAGGGAAUCUUCCGCAAUGGACGAAAGUCUGACGGAGCAACGCCGCGUGAGUGAAGAAGGAUUUCGGUUCGUAAAACUCUGUUGUUAGGGAAGAAAAAAUGUAUAGUAACUAUAUACAAAAGAGACGGUACCUAACCAGAAAGCCACGGCUAACUACGUGCCAGCAGCCGCGGUAAUACGUAGGUGGCAAGCGUUGUCCGGAAUUAUUGGGCGUAAAGCGCGCGCAGGUGGUUUAGAAAGUGUGAUGUGAAAGCCCACGGCUCAACCGUGGAGGUUCAUUGGAAACUAAUAAACUUGAGUGCAGGAGAGAAAAGUGGAAUUCCUAGUGUAGCGGUGAAAUGCGUAGAGAGAAGGAGGAACACCGGUGGCGAAAGCGGCUUUUUGGCCUGCAACUGACACUGCGGCGCGAAAGCGUGGGGAGCAAACAGG
rnacentral:rRNA from 1 species